GGGUGCGAUCAUACCAGCACUAAUGCACCGGAUUCCAUCAGAACUCCGAAGUUAAACGUGCUUGGGCGAGAGUAGUACUAAGAUGGAUGACCUCUUAGGAAGUCCUCGUGUUGCAUCCC
rnacentral:rRNA from 1 species